UACGGAGGGUGCAAACGUUGCUCGGAAUCAUUGGGCGUAAAGCGCACGUAGGCGGUCCAGUAAGUCGGGUGUGAAAGCCCUCGGCUCAACCGAGGAAGUGCAUUCGAAACUACUGAACUUGAGUAUGGAAGAGGGUCGCGGAAUUCCCGGUGUAGAGGUGAAAUUCGUAGAUAUCAGGAGGAACACCGGUGGCGAAGGCGGAUCUCUGGGCCGUAACUGACGCUGAGGAGCGAAAGCAUGGGGAGCGAACAGG
rnacentral:rRNA from 1 species